rnacentral:misc_RNA from 1 species
GUUCCUAACUUAAAGCUAUCAUUACCACUCUAUCCACCAUGUGAUACAAAAGAAUGGUCCAAGCUCUAUGUUCCUCUUCAUGAUAGAACAGAGGGAGAGAGAGAAACAGCUAUGCUAUGCUUAGAAGCUGCAGUUCAAUUAAUCUCAUUCCACAAUUAUCUCAACAUACAGUGGCUUGACUUGGGAUCUUAUACGACACCGUAACACAAUGGAAGCAUCAAGGUUUAGUGUCUAUUUUGUUAGUGGGAAUUUAUACACUGACAACACCAGACAUCCAUGGAACAACAACUGGUGCAUUUGGGUGUGCCUUUCUGAAUGUCUCAGAAUAUCGGUCCUUAAAACUUGAUUUAGCUUUCUCUGCAUAUUUCAGCCAGCAUUCUUGAUUUUUGUGUUGAUAAAUAUCCGGAGAAUAGCAUCCGGUCUCAGAUGGGCAAUAAACCCAUAUGUUGCAUUUCUUGUCAUUAGGUCCAGCGUUCUUAGCUUGAUUCAAACAGCCAUGCAACACUCAUAUG